CGGAAGAGCGAGCCAAUAGCAGGUCUGUGAUGCUCCUAAAUGUCCUAGGCUGCACGCGCACUACACUGAUGCAAUAAACGAUUCUGACGGCGUUCUGGCAACCUACCUGGAAGCGGGUGGGAAACCUUUUGAACUUGCAUCGUGAUGAGGAUCGACGAUUGCAAUUAUUCUCCUUGAAUGGGGAAUGCCUAGUAGGCACAAGUCAUCAGCUUGUMCUGCUUACGUCCCUGCCAUUUGUACACMCCGCCCGUCGUUGCUACUGAUUGGCUGUAGGGUAGAGAUCGGCGGAUUCCGAGCUGUUGGGGCAACUCUUCAGUUUGGGAGAAACCUAUCAAURUUCUGCAGCUAGAAGAAGCAAAAGUCGUAACAAGGUUGCUGUAGGUGAACCUGCAGCUGGAUC
rnacentral:rRNA from 1 species